UACAGAGGGUGCAAACGUUGCUCGGAAUCACUGGGCGUAAAGCGCGUGUAGGCGGACCGGAAAGUCGGGUGUGAAAUCCCUGGGCUCAACCCAGGAACUGCGUCCGAAACUACCAGCCUAGAGUGUCGGAGAGGGAAGUGGAAUUCUUGGUGUAGAGGUGAAAUUCGUAGAUAUCAAGAGGAACACCGGUGGCGAAGGCGGCUUCCUGGACGAUAACUGACGCUGAGACGCGAAAGCGUGGGGAGAAAACAGG
rnacentral:rRNA from 1 species